CUGGCGUCACCAGGACAACGGGCGUUGCCGGCGCCUUGUGACUCCGGGCUGUGGGCGCGCUCGCGGCUCUCCGGCCAUGGUUUUCUCAAAUAAUGAUGAAGGUCUUAUUAACAAAAAGCUACCCAAAGAACUUCUCUUAAGAAUAUUUUCCUUCUUGGAUAUAGUAACUUUGUGCCGAUGUGCACAGAUUUCCAAGGCUUGGAACAUCUUAGCCCUGGAUGGAAGCAACUGGCAACGAAUAGACCUUUUUAACUUUCAAACAGAUGUAGAGGGUCGAGUGGUGGAAAAUAUCUCAAAGCGAUGUGGUGGAUUCCUGAGGAAGCUCAGCUUGAGAGGCUGCAUUGGUGUCGGGGAUUCCUCCUUGAAGACCUUUGCACAGAACUGCCGAAACAUUGAACAUUUAAACCUCAAUGGGUGCACAAAAAUCACUGACAGCACGUGUUAUAGCCUUAGCAGAUUCUGUUCCAAGCUGAAGCAUCUGGAUCUGACCUCCUGUGUGUCCAUUACAAACAGCUCCUUAAAGGGGAUCAGUGAGGGCUGCCGAAACCUGGAGUACCUGAACCUCUCUUGGUGUGAUCAGAUCACGAAGGAUGGCAUCGAGGCACUGGUGCGAGGUUGUCGAGGCCUAAAAGCCCUGCUUCUGAGGGGCUGCACACAGUUGGAAGACGAAGCUCUGAAGCACAUUCAGAAUUACUGCCAUGAGCUUGUGAGCCUCAACUUACAGUCCUGCUCACGCAUUACGGAUGAAGGCGUGGUGCAGAUAUGCAGGGGAUGCCACCGGCUGCAGGCCCUCUGCCUUUCUGGCUGCAGCAACCUCACAGACGCCUCUCUCACAGCCCUGGCUUUGAACUGCCCAAGACUUCAGAUUUUGGAGGCUGCCCGAUGUUCCCAUUUGACUGACGCAGGCUUUACACUUUUAGCUCGGUUGGCCGGAAAACUCGGGAGGUCCUGUCGAGGGUUCUGUGGCAGGUGUAGCCUCACUCUCAUUGGUCAGAAUUGCCAUGACCUGGAAAAGAUGGAUCUUGAGGAAUGCAUUCUGAUAACCGACAGCACACUCAUCCAGCUUUCCAUUCACUGUCCUAAACUCCAAGCCCUGAGUCUGUCCCACUGUGAGCUCAUCACAGAUGAUGGGAUUCUGCACCUGAGCAACAGCACCUGUGGCCAUGAGAGGCUGCGGGUACUCGAAUUGGACAACUGCCUCCUCAUCACUGAUGUGGCCCUGGAACACCUAGAGAACUGCCGCGGCCUGGAGCGCCUUGAGCUCUAUGACUGCCAGCAGGUUACCCGUGCAGGCAUCAAGCGGAUGCGGGCUCAGCUCCCUCAUGUCAAAGUCCAUGCCUACUUCGCCCCUGUCACCCCACCGACAGCAGUGGGAGGAGGUGGACAGCGACUGUGCAGGUGCUGUGUCAUUCUCUGACAGCAGCUGCCUGGGCCCAAGGCAUGAUGAGGUGUCCCUUCCUCCAGAGAAGACCUGAGUCUUCCUGACCUACACCACUGUCACCCACAUCUGUUGAUUCUCCAUUGGGAAAGGCAUUUACAGGUUUCCAAGAGGAGCUCUAACCACCCCCAGAAGUAUCUUAACCAAACCAAAUGCAGCCCGGGGCAGCAAACAAGCACACUAGGAAGAUGUGAAAUCCCAGGCCAGUGAACUGCUGAUGUUUUGCAUACUUUAGACUUAAGAAUCAUUAAUAAUUUACCAACAUUUCUACCAUCUUCAGAGUAGCUUUGGGCUGUAACAGAUUUAUGAAUUAUCAGAACUCGCUCCUUUUAAUUAGUUGGUUAACAAGAGAAGAAAAGUGAUUUAUCAGUCUCCCCAAAAAAGUUUACUAAGAACCAUUUGUGAGUCUUCAGCUGGGAAAUCAGAAGAGAAAUAAAAACAUAAAAUUGAGGGGCAGGCAUUUUGGGGAAGGAGUAUACAGUUGUUCCAUACAACCUUGAUUUCAGUCCAAAAAGCCCAGUUAAAGAAAAUGCAACAUGUGUGCUCCCCAUUCACUCAGAUGAGUAUCUUUUCAGUUUUAUGCAUAAAGAAGCAUUAACAAUAUUUUCAAUCAAUGCUUUAAUUUGGAAAUGAGGUUCCUGUGAUAGUACUUCUGAGUUUCACAGUCUACAGAUAAUUACAGAUACAUGUAUAAGAGUGAAAAUUCCAUUUCUGUCACCUUGAUAGGACAAACACUUCAAUGAUGAAUAGAGUAGCCAUUAAUACAUAUGAUGACAGUUAUUUAAAAAAAUUAUUUAAUGCUCUGUCUUUACAUUUACCGCAGGUAUAUAGCUGAUCUAAGUUUAUAUAACAGGAUCAUCCUUUGUGGAUUGUUAGAUGAAAAGUUGUGUCAUAAAAUAAAGAUUUGCUACACCUAGGCUGACAAAGCUCAUAUUCAACCAAAAACCCCGUUAAGUGCAGGUUGGGGGAACCAGGUGAGAGUGUAGCAAGCUGCACUAUUCUGGCCUGAAGCAUAAGGUCACAAUGCAGGUGCCAAGAGGAAACACUAACACCGUCAAAGAUUUUCUUCCUACUAGUGCUGCCAAACAGGCUUUUAAAAGCACAGACAGACACACAUUCUUAUACUACAUGCAGGGAAGUGUGACACAAAGUAUACUGCAUACAUUAAUGUCAUGCUUGCUGCCAUCAUUUCUUGAAAUAGCCAUGAAAUUUUCUUAUCAGUUAUACACAUGAGAAAGCAAAACCUUUUUUAAUUACACAAAAAUGAUAAUUAUUUUACUAAAGAAAGUAUUUCAAUUAAUUUCAGUGCUCGUGAAGGAAGUGUGUGUACGAAGGAGGGAGAGGGAGGGAGGAAGGGAAGGAGACAGAGAGGGAACAUAUUUCUCAGUGUCGUUUUUCCCUCCAAAACCACCCAAUAUGGUCAACUUUGUUUUAAAGUGUUAGAUUUAGGAAAUUUUCCUCAGUGAGGAACAAACAGAAAGCAGGAAGUCUAAACAAAAGCAAAUUAAAUCAAGACAAGGACAUCCGAAACAAAUUUGGCUUUACUUUUCGGUGGAAGUUGGUCCUAUAUCUAACACUGCACAAGGUUUCUUGCACAAUGAAAAGAGAAGCAGAAGUC